AGAGAGAGAGAGAGAGAGAAGCACCUAAAGGGUUUUUUAUGUGAAUUCCUGUUUAGGAGGUAAUGAUAGAGAACUCAAAAGGAUUGUGAAAACAACAUUCCAACUCGAAAAAACACAAUUUAAAACAAAGCAACAAAAUUGUUUAUUGGAAUUUCUGUUUACAGGCUCAAACUUCUUUUACAUAUUACUUAUUGUUAAAAUAGUUGCAUUUCGAUGCUUAUCCUACUUCAACUUUUUGUUCCUUUUUUCUUUCUAUAAUUGCUUUAUUUUUUGCUAUUGCUUUUAAGGAUACUUCACAUCCUCACAUUGCCCUAUGACCAUGUCACCCUAUGACUAUGUCACCUUAAC
rnacentral:misc_RNA from 1 species